UUUGGUUUGUGUUGAGUAAAAUCU
rnacentral:siRNA from 1 species